rnacentral:rRNA from 1 species
UAGGGAAUCUUCGGCAAUGGACGAAAGUCUGACCGAGCAACGCCGCGUGAGUGAAGAAGGUUUUCGGAUCGUAAAACUCUGUUGUUAGAGAAGAACAAGGACGUUAGUAACUGAACGUCCCCUGACGGUAUCUAACCAGAAAGCCACGGCUAACUACGUGCCAGCAGCCGCGGUAAUACGUAGGUGGCAAGCGUUGUCCGGAUUUAUUGGGCGUAAAGCGAGCGCAGGCGGUUUCUUAAGUCUGAUGUGAAAGCCCCCGGCUCAACCGGGGAGGGUCAUUGGAGACUGGGAGACUUGAGUGCAGAAGAGGAGAGUGGAAUUCCAGGUGUAGCGGUGAAAUGCGUAGAUAUAUGGAGGAACACCAGUGGCGAAGGCGGCUCUCUGGUCUGUAACUGACGCUGAGGCUCGAAAGCGUGGGGAGCAAACAGG